AAGUUACUAAAAAAUUAUGUCCCUUGAAAAAGUGGGUGGCUUAGCAUGGAGCCAAUGAGGAGCUCAGUUUGCUUUUGAAGUAGAAAGUUGUCCUGAGGCAUUCUGAAACACAUGCACAGAUUACUGCCUUUCUCCUGGAGAGAAGGCUGGCUGGCUGGCUUCAGGAAGGAGUAGAGCCCAGUGGAAACAUUGCUAAUCUCUUUCUUUAUCUACACACUGAAUAAAUAUUGCGGAACCCUGAGAAACAAUGCAACCACUAGGGACUUUAAUGAGUGUUUAUCUUUCUAACUGUAUUUAUAGAGGGGUGACUGCCUGUGGCAUGCUUGCCAGAGGAUUGAGAAGGGACUGCUUGGAAAAGCUGAAAACAGGUAACUUUCCCACAGUAAAAAAGAAAUCUCUUGAAUUGAAAAGUGAAGAAACCAUUAAGGACUCUGUAGAGGAAGAUGGGAAGGUUGAAGGCUUCCAUGGUUCUCGCAUAUACACUCUUGCUAACCUCUCCCAUGGGUCAUAUAAACUCACCACAAUGAGCACGCCUGACUCAGGUAAUUCACCAUUAAAUAUGGAAGUUUAAUGCCACUGAAUUUAUAUACUUACAAAUGGUUACAGUGAGAAAUACUAUGUUAUUUGUAUUUUAUCCCCCUAAAUGUUUUGCCCUGAAGUUAGGGAAUUAAAGAAUAAAAGAAGACA
rnacentral:lncRNA from 1 species